rfam:Gallus gallus isolate RJF #256 breed Red Jungle fowl, inbred line TCD001 chromosome 4, whole genome shotgun sequence.
UUACUGGCCCUAUUAAGGGCCACGACUAGCUUAAAUAUCUUGUUGG